GUUCCAUACUUUUGCAGUAGCCUUCCCAAUAUGAGCAAAGAUAGCGAGAAAAAUAAGAUCUGUAAACACUAGCAUGAAGUUGUGAUGAGCUGCAAAUUCCCAAAUAUAAUGGCACAAGCACUUCUUUUAUUUUUGUAUAUGAGCAAGUAAGUAAUGCAACUUCAGACUCCAUUUUUUCCAAUUACCGACUGCCCGGUUUAAAAUUUUGAUAGUCCUCUGUCGGGAAAACAUAGUGGCACAAUACCUGUAAUAAACAAUCGGGGUAUAGUAGACAUUCAGCAUCAAUAUUAGGACACGAGCUACUGUUACUUUUAUAUGAACAAAUUGAACAGCUAACA